CAAAUUAUAGCUUAAAUUAAGUAUAUCUUUUACAUAGAUAAGAAAAUAAAAAAUAAUAAUUAUUUAAUUUGA
rnacentral:tRNA from 1 species